GAACAGCGCCAUAGGAUAGUGAUUAGAAACUAUUAGCUCAAGCUAAUAAAAUUGUCAGAACAUCAAGCUGGUUUUAAAAGAAACAAAUCUGUGGAAAAGCUCGUUUCUGCUUUAAGAAAUCUAUUCUAUAUACAGUUUUUUGCUAUAAGAAUUCACCUAACAAUAUCUCCGUAACAGUGCUUCCAACAGACUACAAAGAAAAUUCAACUUGAAACAACAAAUCUUAUCUCACCAGAAUUGCAGCAGAUCCAAGUCACUUUCUCAACCCAAUUUUAGAUAAGCUAUUUAAAGAUAUAUCUUAUAUAUAUAUAUAACUCCACAUUUAUUAGCUGGUUUGGAAUUUCUGAAACAAUUAUGGUAGCAAGGAAAUGUGUCUGGUCACUGAGACAGCAGAUUAUUAAUAACAAUGGAAUGACUCUAGACAUAUCUAUUAUCCACCUGAAAAUAUUGUGGACACAACCAUAAGAGAAAAACUAAAGCAAGUAGAGGACAUCAAUAAGGAAUGUUUCAUUGGAAAUUAAAAGAAAUUCAGAGAAUUUAUCCAUCCAUACUGAUGACUCCAAAACACUUAAUGAUCUAGUUUAUAUGGAACGUUAUGAUUCGUGCUUAUUUUCCAAUAAACAAUAGCGCCAUGGAACGUAGCGGUAGAACACUGAAACUGACAGACAAAUUACCAACAGCCGAUUUCAGAGACUCUUUAGCCGUUCAAUUUCCCUGAUAAAAGAUUCAAAUGUAGAUUUUAGUUUGAGUAGAUUUUAUUUAUAUUAUUAUACUACUUAUAACAUAAAAUAAUAAUAAUAAUAUAACAUAAUUUAACUUCUCGAUCAAUAAAUAUUAUAUUUGAGGUCUUAAAACAGCAUCUAGUACGUAAACACCUACAGUAAUAUUUAUUUACAAUGUCCAACAGUGUGUAAUAACUAAUUAUUACACUUACAUACCAAUGCCCUGGUGAAAGUUCAA